UACGUAGGGGGCAAGCGUUGUCCGGAUUUAUUGGGCGUAAAGAGCGUGUAGGCGGCCUGACAGGUCUGCUGUGAAAACUCGAGGCUCAACCUCGAGAUGUCGGCGGAAACCGUCUGGCUAGAGUCCGGAAGAGGAGAGUGGAAUUCCUGGUGUAGCGGUGAAAUGCGCAGAUAUCAGGAGGAACACCAAUUGCGAAGGCAGCUCGGUGGAACGGAACUGACGCUGAGACGCGAAAGCGUGGGGAGCAAACAGG
rnacentral:rRNA from 1 species